GAAAAGUGUCUGCCUUCUAAUAAAAUUGGAUAUUGCACGUUAAAUGGGUUUUGGCCAUUAGCAAAGUUCCUGUUCCUUUACUGGGGAUGCCUGCGGUAUUUUCUUAGAGAUUUCUGUUUCAUCAAAGUAAUAUGAAGGGAUGUUAAAGACGAAAGCACAUAUGCUUAAAUAGGUCUUAAUUUUACUACCACAAGGAAAGCUAUUUUAUGAAAGUUGCUAAUCAAUCAAUUUGAAUAUCUUCAAAUAUCAAAGAUUCCCCAAGUCACAGGCCUCGCCAUGUUUUUAUGAGGCAGCAGGAAGGAUGUGUGAAGGUCGAGUACUAGUGUAACUGGUCAUACAGGAGGGCCGGGCGACCGGCACUUUCGUUAAAACGUCCUGCUCUCCACAGGUGAAGUGCUGGUAAUAACUGAGGGACACGCUAGCACGUUGGCCAGGACAGCUGUCUGCUAUGGCAACCGUGGCUGCUUCAUGCUCAGACCUCAGGGAACCGUGUUCUCUGGGCCGCUCUGCACCGGGCUCUUUGCAAGGUCAGAACUGCUUCCAGGGGCAGAGGCAGGGACCAGAUGUCGUGCCUGUGACACUGAGCUCUCGAGACCAAGGGGCUAGGUCCCAGGGCAGGUCUGGAGCUGCCCCUCGAGCAGCAGCUGCUAGCGUGGUCCCUGCUGGCCCCUCCCUCCAAACAGGCCCAGGGCAGGGCUAGGGCUUCACCAUCCAAUGUGUUUGUUUUAAAGAUUGUGCUGGGCCUUCCAUUUACCCAGAUAACCCUUCACCCUAUUCUAGAAUUUCAAGCCAUGGGAAGGUCUGUCUGUCUGUCUAUCCAUAUCUACAUCUCUGUCACUCUCCUCUCUUAGAGAAUUUAAAUCGGUGUUAGUUAUAAGAAACUGAUCAGAGAGCACUGAAUAGCAAUUACCACUCUAAUAGCAAAUGUCAUCAUUACGUACGCUGAAUUAUGAUUUUAUGUUUAGACAUUAACUUGAAGUGCGAAAGUUGCAAAGUCCUUUUUCUUCCUAGUUUAACCCCAAAGGACCUGCUGAGCAUGACAAGCCAUCAACACCUCCACUCUCAGGGGCCACUUCUGGAUAUUUGUGCCAAGCAGUGCACGGCACAGAGUGCCAGGGAGGCCCAGACGGGCCAGGCACACAGGAACGAGAAACACGGCUUCUGAUUUGAGGGCCAGCUUGCCCGCUGCUUUAUGACCACGUACGGCUGCCGAGUCCGAAAGUGCGCCGGCCAGCCUGUGCGAUCUCGGAGGGCGGCCCGAUGGCGAGCCCUCCGCGGCUGGGAGGCAGUGCUGCAGCAACUCUCACAGAAGGCAACCACAUUCCCAUAGUGCUCCCUGUGUGCCCAGGCCCAGAGGGAGUCAACAAAAACGCACGCUGUCACCUAGGGAGGGGAAUGACACCUGCCCACCCUCCAGAAAGCCAGUCCAGACCACCGACCUACUGAGUAUAGCUGAUGACUGUGUCAUGUGGAAACAAAUCCCCUUCAUCUCAGUGUGAGCUGGCUUCAGGUCUACAGGCAACAUUCUUAUUUUUGAUUAUCAAUUCUACAAGUCAAGUGGGCCCAAUCAUUAAUAAAGAAUCCUACAGAAUGUA